AAGGACAAGAGGACAUAAGCAGAAAAAUUCAGCUAGAUGCAAUGUUAUGGAGAUCUGAUCCGCUCCUUUGGUGAGGUCAUUCAAGUAGCUGGCUCAAGCAUAGAGCAAACAAUGACAUCAGACUCAAACAAACGUCAAGCCUGAUAGACACUGUCGAAAGAUGUUUCCAUGGGAAUGGCUCCAUUUCAGGGCUGUACUGUCAUGUGCUGACACAUUUUCAGGGAAAUGAAUGAGGAUUGCUGCAUAUCUGGCAGUUCUAUUCCUGACACUAAGUAGACUGCCAACUUCGUCCCAUGGGAGUAAGGACGGGUUGCCAGGUUCGGGUCAAAGAAGACGACACUUCCUAUUAAUUCAUCCAUCAGGUCUGCCAGGAUCAUAAUGACUGGUGACAGCUUAAGACUACUGUCUGACGUCUUCAUUAGACCCAUGUGUGCAGGAUGAAUAAAUGAAUAAAUGAUGACAGAAUUUUAAAUUCUGGGUAACUAUCUCUUAAAAAAAAAGUAUAAAGAGAGAAAUAGGCUGCAGGAGAAGAAAAACACAAGAAGGGGAAGGUGAAACACACUGCACAAAGACUAUGAGAGGAAGAAAAGUGGGUGAAACGAAGGGGCGUGAGAGAACGAGCGACUGAAAGACGGGGUGAGUGCACGAGAACAAGAACCACCACAUCCGUCUGUUCGGGGGUGCUUUAAAUUCACGGCAUUCACUAAAUUCAGCAGAAUCAUCAGACUGGAGUGGAUGGGACCUGAAGGACAUUGACGUCCCCUCUCAACUCAACCGCACUCCAUCCACAUCCUACAUCUGUCUAUUCAACACCAUCAUCAAGCACAGGGAAUCAAUGACACCAAUGAUAGCACAGUCCAGCAUCACCCCGCCAAAGGACAGCGGGGAGAUUGCUUCUCUCCCUCUCAGCGGUACAAAAGCAGCUUUGAGUGAAGUAUUCUUCAGCGGAAUGCAGAACCCCACUGAGAGAGCCUCUCUGAAAUGAUAUCUAUAUCGCGGGCCGGAGUUGAACAUAGAUUUUUUGAAUACAUUUAUGAAGCUGCUCCCCAAGAGGUCAGUGGGUGGAGGACAGUCUCAUCUUAAGCAAAAAGUUCCGCUUUUCAUAUGGACAAGAUGGUGGCGAGCCAAAAAUGCAAUGGAAAAGAAACUAAUUAACAGGAUGCAUCCGGUUGUUGAAUCCGAAAAUGGCAGGAGUAGGAGGAGACGGAAAGGAAAUCUCUAAAUUUAGUGCUGCUUUACUGCAAUAAUACAAGAUUAAAUGCAUAACUCUUCUGAAAAUGUUAUAACGGAUGCCAGCCACCAGUGAUGGUAGUCAUAAUUCUGGCCCUGUUAAAGAGAUGAGAAUUAUUUUAGUACUGCCUCAUCCCUGCCCAAUUGGCACCUGUGCCCGCAUAUUUUUACAGUCCCAUGGUUGCCGCAUGGCCAAGUUUCUCUGUGAGCUUAUGAAAAUAGCAGGUACUUUGAAUAUAUUAUCAAAC
ensembl:lncRNA